CGGUUGAUCCUGCCAGAGGCCGCUGCUAUCCGGCUGGGACUAAGCCAUGCUAGUCUAGGGGCUUGUACUCCUUUGGGGGUGCAAGCACCGGCGGACGGCUCAGUAACACGUGGACAACCUGCCCUCGGGUGGGGGAUAACCCCGGGAAACUGGGGCUAAUCCCCCAUAGGUGAUGGGUGCUGGAAUGCCCCAUCUCCGAAAGCGCUUAGCGCCCGAGGAUGGGUCUGCGGCGGAUUAGGUAGUUGGUGGGGUAACGGCCCACCAAGCCUAAGAUCCGUACGGGCUGUGGGAGCAGGAGCCCGGAGAUGGACCCUGAGACAAGGGUCCAGGCCCUACGGGGCGCAGCAGGCGCGAAACCUCCGCAAUGCGGGAAACCGCGACGGGGUUAGCCGGAGUGCCCGUGCAUUGCACGGGCUGUCGGGGUGCCUAAACAGCACCCCAUAGCAAGGGCCGGGCAAGGCCGGUGGCAGCCGCCGCGGUAAGACCGGCGGCCCGAGUGGCGGCCACUCUUAUUGGGCCUAAAGCGUCCGUAGCCGGCCCAGUAAGUCCCCCCGGAAAUCUGGUCGCUUAACGAUCAGACUUCCGGGGGAUACUGCUGGGCUAGGGACCGGGAGAGGCCGAGGGUAUUCCCGGGG
rnacentral:rRNA from 1 species